CUGCAUGUUCACCAUCAACAGCGGAUGACCAAAUUGGGCUCUUUCCCAGUUGCCGCCACCCACCCCUUGCUGGCCUCCCCAUGCCCAUUCCCACACAUUCCUAAACAGUCAUCACUCAUCAGCACUCUUAAAGACUGACAAGGGGGAGGCCGAUGACAUCACAAGGCACCAUUAAACCAACUCCUAAACUCCUGGCCUAAAAAAAGCAGGUCAGCCACCAGAGGGAGACUUGUCGAGGCCUGGUGACAGACGGAGUAUACAUCACGAGGCGAUGGCUCCAUCAGCUGGACGUGCCAAGACUCGACAGCUCUCCGGCCAGGACUAAUUAGGGCUGAUUGGGAGUUGGUGAGUAAUCGAGGGCUGAUUGCUCACCAGCUAUCCCAAAAAGCUGCCAGAAGGGUAGCACACAGGAGAGAGAGUGGGAGAAGAAAGGACUCCCGUAUAGACGGUUGCAGAGGUGACAGGAGUGAGUUCAGUUUUUUGAUCCCCACAAGAUAGAGCAAGACCCGGAGCCAAGAAGACGGUAUCCCGGAGAGGGUCUCAUGGGGGAGACCUAUUCUUUUCUUUUGAGCUAUUACUUUA